CCCUUAGACGUUCUGGGCCGCACGCGCGCUACACUGACACAGGCAACGAGCUUUCCUUUACCGAAAGGUAUGGGUAAUCUUUUGAAACUGUGUCGUGCUGGGGAUAGAUCCUUGCAAUUUUUGAUCUUAAACGAGGAAUUCCUAGUAAGCGCGAGUCAUCAACUCGCGUUGAUUACGUCCCUGCCCUUUGUACACACCGCCCGUCGCUACUACCGAUUGAAUGGCUUAGUGAGGCCUCAGGACCCGCGCUUAAUGUGUGGAGAAUUUGGACAAACUACGUCAUUUAGAGGAAGUAAAAGUCGUAACA
rnacentral:rRNA from 1 species